UACGUAGGUGACAAGCGUUUGUCCGGAUUUACUGGGCGUAAAGAGCGCGCAGGCGGUCGAUCAAGUCGAGUGUGAAAGCCCCCGGCUCAACUGGGGAGGGUCAUUCGAUACUGAUCGACUCGAAGGCAGGAGAGGGUAGUGGAAUUCCCGGUGUAGUGGUGAAAUGCGUAGAUAUCGGGAGGAACACCAGUGGCGAAGGCGACUACCUGGCCUGUUCUUGACGCUGAGGCGCGAAAGCUAGGGUAGCAAACGGGG
rnacentral:rRNA from 1 species